rnacentral:rRNA from 1 species
CAGUUAAGAAGCUCGUAGUUGGAUUUCUGUGGGGACGGAGCGGCCGGCCGCACAUCGCGGUUCGAGCUAGCGCUUUCCCUACAUCCUGCCGCGAACCGUGCUACCAUUAGUUUGGUGGCGCUGGGGAUCGGCUCGAUUACUUUGAGAAAAAUAGAGUGUUCAAAGCAGGCCACACGCCUUGAGUAAGUUAGCAUGGAAUAAUAACUAAGGACUUCGGUUCUAUUUUGUUGGUGUUCGGGAUUGAAGUAAUGAUUGAUAGGGACAGUUGGGGCGGUCAGUAUUCCAAAGCGAGAGGUGAAAUUCUUAGACCUUCGGAAGACUAACAGCUGCGAAAGCGUUCCGCAAGGAUGUUCCCUUUGAUCAAGAACGAAAGUUGGGGGAUCGAAGACGAUCAGAUACCGUCGUAGUCUCAACUAUAAACUAUACCAGCUAGGGAUCGGCCAACGUUAUUUUAUACCGACUUGGUCGGCACCUUAUGAGAAAUCAAAGCAUCUGGGUUCCGGGGGGAGUAUGGUCGCAAGGCUGAAACUUAAAGGAAUUGACGGAAGGGCACCACCAGCCGUGGAGCCUGUGGCUUAAUUUGACUCAACACGGGAAAACUUACCAGGUCCAGACAUAGUAAGGAUUGACAGAUUGAUAGCUCUU